UCAGCCACACUGGAACUGAGACACGGUCCAGACUCCUACGGGAGGCAGCAGUGGGGAAUAUUGCACAAUGGGGGAAACCCUGAUGCAGCCAUGCCGCGUGUGUGAAGAAGGCCUUCGGGUUGUAAAGCACUUUCAGUAGGGAGGAAGGUAGUGUAGUUAACACCUGCAUUAUUUGACGUUACCUACAGAAGAAGCACCGGCUAACUCCGUGCCAGCAGCCGCGGUAAUACGGAGGGUGCGAGCGUUAAUCGGAAUUACUGGGCGUAAAGCGCAUGCAGGCGGCCUGUUAAGUCAGAUGUGAAAGCCCGGGGCUUAACCUCGGAAUUGCAUUUGAAACUGGCAGGCUAGAGUCUUGUAGAGGGGGGUAGAAUUUCAGGUGUAGCGGUGAAAUGCGUAGAGAUCUGAAGGAAUACCAGUGGCGAAGGCGGCCCCCUGGACAAAGACUGACGCUCAGAUGCGAAAGCGUGGGGAGCAAACAGGAUUAGAUACCCUGGUAGUCCACGCCGUAAACGAUGUCUACUUGGAGGUUGUGGCCUUGAGCCGUGGCUUUCGGAGCUAACGCGUUAAGUAGACCGCCUGGGGAGUACGGUCGCAAGAUUAAAACUCAAAUGAAUUGACGGGGGCCCGCACAAGCGGUGGAGCAUGUGGUUUAAUUCGAUG
rnacentral:rRNA from 1 species